rnacentral:rRNA from 1 species
CAUGCAAGUCGAACGAUGAAGCUGGAGCUUGCUCUGGUGGAUUAGUGGCGAACGGGUGAGUAACACGUGAGUAACCUGCCCUUGACUCUGGGAUAACUGCUAGAAAUGGUAGCUAAUACCGGAUACGACCCUCGGAGGCAUCUCCAGGGGGUGGAAAGAAUUUCGGUCAAGGAUGGACUCGCGGCCUAUCAGCUAGUUGGUGAGGUAAUGGCUCACCAAGGCGACAACGGGUAGCCGGCCUGAGAGGGUGACCGGCCACACUGGGACUGAGACACGGCCCAAACUCCUACGGGAGGCAGCAGUGGGGAAUAUUGCACAAUGGGCGAAAGCCUGAUGCAGCAACGCCGCGUGAGGGACGAAGGCCUUCGGGUUGUAAACCUCUUUUAGUAGGGAAAAAGCGAAAGUGACGGUACCUGCAAAAAAAGCACCGGCUAACUACGUGCCAGCAGCCGCGGUAAUACGUAGGGUGCAAGCGUUGUCCGGAAUUAUUGGGCGUAAAGAGCUCGUAGGCGGUUUGUCGCGUCUGCUGUGAAAUCCCGAGGCUCAACCUCGGGCCUGCAGUGGGUACGGGCAGACUAGAGUGCGGUAGGGGAGAUUGGAAUUCCUGGUGUAGCGGUGGAAUGCGCAGAUAUCAGGAGGAACACCAAUGGCGAAGGCAGA